AUUGAACGCUGGCGGCAGGCCUAACACAUGCAAGUCGAGCGGAGCGGCGGACGGGUGCGUAAUGCCUAGGAAUCUGCCUGGUCGUGGGGGAUCACGUCCGGAACCGGGCGCUAAUACCGCAUACUAUCAGAUGAGCCUAGGUCGGAUUAGCUAGUUGGUGGGGUAAAGGCCUACCAAGGCGACGAUCCGUAUCUGGUCUGAGAGGAUGAUCAGUCACACUGGAACUGAGACACGGUCCAGACUCCUACGGGAGGCAGCAGUGGGGAAUAUUGGACAAUGGGCGAAAGCCUGAUCCAGACAUGCCGCGUGGGUGAAGAAGGUCUUCGGAUUGUAAAGCACUUUAAGUUUGGUGGAGGUACCAAAAGAAUAAGCACCGGCUAACUCCGUGCCAGCAGCCGCGGUAAUAC
rnacentral:rRNA from 1 species